GCGGAGGAAAAGAAACCAACAGGGAUUGCCUCAGUAACGGCGAGUGAAGCGGCAACAGCUCAAAUUUGAAAGCUGGCCCCCCCGGGGGUCCGCGUUGUAAUUUGUAGAGGAUGAUUCGGCGAGGGCUCCCGCCUAAGUCCCCUGGAACGGGGCGUCAUAGAGGGUGAGAAUCCCGUAUGCGGUGGGCUGCCUUAGCCAUGUGAAUCUCCUUCGACGAGUCGAGUUGUUUGGGAAUGCAGCUCUAAAUGGGAGGUAAAUUUCUUCUAAAGCUAAAUACCGGCCAGAGACCGAUAGCGCACAAGUAGAGUGAUCGAAAGAUGAAAAGCACUUUGGAAAGAGAGUUAAAAAGUACGUGAAAUUGUUGAAAGGGAAGCGCUUGCAGCCAGACUUGUCCGCAGUUGCUCAGCCGGUCUCCUGACCGGCGCACUCUUCUGCGGCCAGGCCAGCAUCAGUUCGGGCGGUCGGAUAAAGGCCCCGGGAACGUAGCUCCUCUCGGGGAGUGUUAUAGCCCGGGGUGGAAUGCGGCCAGCCUGGACUGAGGAUCUCGCUUCGGCUAGGAUGCUGGCGUAAUGGCUGUAAGCGGCCCGUCUUGAAACACGGACCAAGGAGUCUAACAUCUAUGCGAGUGUUUGGGUGUCAAACCCAUGCGCGUAAUGAAAGUGAACGGAGGUGGGAACCCUCGCGGGUGCACCAUCGACCGAUCCUGAUGUCUUCGGAUGGAUUUGAGUAAGAGCAUAGCUGUUGGGACCCGAAAGAUGGUGAACUAUGCCUGAAUAGGGUGAAGCCAGAGGAAACUCUGGUGGAGGCUCGCAGCGGUUCUGACGUGCAAAUCGAUCGUCAAAUUUGGGUAUAGGGGCGAAAGACUAAUCGAACCAUCGACUACUAGGUGGUUAAGAGGUGGCUGAAAGUGCCCACCUAGUCCCCCCGUCCUCGGACGGGGGGGCGACAUCGCCAAAUUGCGGGGACUCCCUUAGAGCCUCUACUACCGCGGCCGGCCGAAAGGCGCGGUGCAGCACCGGGUUAAUUGCCUAGGGUACGGUAAAAAGGUAGAGGAUUGGGAAAUCCGCAGCCAAGCGCCUAAGUCCCGCGGGAUACGGCGAAGGUUCAGAGACUAGAUGGCGGUGGGUGCGGCCCGAGG
rnacentral:sRNA from 1 species